rnacentral:lncRNA from 1 species
CUUAAAGUCUAGUGAGAGAGACAACGUUAUUAGUGUAACAAUAAUUAUACACAUUAUUUUGCUGUGUAAUAUUGCUGCCUAAACAUUACAGUUAGAUUAAAUAAGAUAAUUUAUAAAAUCCCAACAACUAAUGAACAUGGGUGGUCAUUUUCCCAAAGCCACGCACACGUCAUAAUUUAAUUAUACUGAUGAAAACGACACUGGCAAAGAACAGGGUGAUGAGAGAAUAUAGUGGCCGCCUAUCCUAGCCCGUACGGUCUGAAGAAAGCUUUCCUGAGAAAGUGACUUUUAGAAUAAAACUUAAAGAAUGAAUAAAAGUUGGCCAGGGGAAGGGGAAGUAAAGAUGAAGAACAGAAUGUGGCCCAGGCAGAGAGAACAGGACAAACAAAGGCCCUGGGGCCUUUGAAACUAGUCCCAGUGGAUUUGUGAACUCUUUCAGAGAUGCUCCAUGCUGGUCCCCUUAUACUUUUCAAAGAAAGAAAGUUCAAGAUGCUUCCAACUUCCCACGUUUAUAUGCUAUCAGCUUAUUCCCAGCUCCCCCUGCUUUCCCCAUCUCCCCUACUCUCAGCUCUCUGGCCAUGACACUCAGUCAUAGCCCGCAUGGCGUAGUGGCGUCCUCUGACCCUGGGCAGCAGAGCGUUGGUAGAAGUCCUAUGUGUCUAGACAAAAGAUUGGUUAGUCUUUUCGAAAGCGAGUGUUCCAGGUCUGACUCAACCUGACUGAGAGCCAAGAAAGAGAUGAUAAGGCUGAUGGAAAAGAUCUCCUUAAUGAAUGGCAAUAAAAAACAGCCCAAAGGUGAAGGCAUGCAAUGGCCUUGGCGUUUCCUGCGGCUGCGGCCCCAGACAGGCUCUUGAAAGCGCUCAAGGAUAAGAGGUCCAGUGAUAUCUCUGCUUUAUUUACUGCCUCUGGACCCCAGAAUCUGUGCUCCUGCAAUAAGAAACAGCUCAAUCAAUGGAGGCAUCUGCUAUGAUUCCCCAUGGCAUCCUGAUACGUUUUGAAAGCAAGAUUUUUUUCCACUUAGUAUCCAGGAGGGCAACUCAGAUCCUUAAAGGAGCUCCUGAUUUUCACCCACGGGCUGGGAAUUCGAUGCACGCCCCGAAGAUUCUAAAAGGGAUUAGACCAGAACUUGGGCUCAAGUUCUUGUCUAGGGCAGGUGGAGGCGGCUGAGCUACAUGAAAAAGCACUGGACCUGGGCUCAGGAAAUCGGCUUAGAGUCUCCUUGCUGCCACUUGUCAUUUGGAUGGAUGUAAUUUCUCUGAGACUCAAAUUUCUCACAGGCGAAAUGGUGAUAAUUCUACUUUGGCUCUGAGGAGCGAAGGAUAUCGUUGAAAGCCCGUGCACAUCUGUCUUGCACUGCACCUCUG